rnacentral:rRNA from 1 species
UGGGGAAUAUUGCACAAUGGGCGCAAGCCUGAUGCAGCCAUGCCGCGUGUAUGAAGAAGGCCUUCGGGUUGUAAAGUACUUUCAGCGGGGAGGAAGGGAGUAAAGUUAAUACCUUUGCUCAUUGACGUUACCCGCUGAAGAAGCACCGGCUAACUCCGUGCCAGCAGCCGCGUUAAUACGGAGGGUGCAAGCGUUAAUCGGUAUUACUUGGCGUAAAGCGCACGCAGGCGGUUUGUUAAGUCAGGUGUGAAAUCCUCGGGCUCAACCUGGGAACUGCAUCUGAUACUGGCAAGCUUGAGUCUCGUAGAGGGGGGUAGAAUUCCAGGUGUAGCGGUGAAAUGCGUAGAGAUCUGGAGGAAUACCGGUGGCGAAGGCGGCCCCCUGGACGAAGACUGACGCUCAGGUGCGAAAGCGUGGGGAGCAAACAGG